rnacentral:rRNA from 1 species
UAAGCGACUAAGCGUACACGGUGGAUGCCCUGGCAGUCAGAGGCGAUGAAGGGCGUGCUAAUCUGCGAUAAGCGCCGGUAAGGUGAUAUGAACCGUUAUAACCGGCGAUACCCGAAUGGGGAAACCCAGUGUGACUCGUCACACUAUCAUUAACUGAAUCCAUAGGUUAAUGAGGCGAACCGGGGGAACUGAAACAUCUAAGUACCCCGAGGAAAAGAAAUCAACCGAGAUUCCCCCAGUAGCGGCGAGCGAACGGGGAGGAGCCCAGAGCCUGAAUCAGCAUGUGUGUUAGUGGAAGCGUCUGGAAAGGCGCGCGAUACAGGGUGACAGCCCCGUACACAAAAGCGCAUGUGCUGUGAGCUCGAUGAGUAGGGCGGGACACGUGGUAUCCUGUCUGAAUAUGGGGGGACCAUCCUCCAAGGCUAAAUACUCCUGACUGACCGAUAGUGAACCAGUACCGUGAGGGAAAGGCGAAAAGAACCCCGGCGAGGGGAGUGAAAAAGAACCUGAAACCGUGUACGUACAAGCAGUGGGAGCACCCUUUGGGUGUGACUGCGUACCUUUUGUAUAAUGGGUCAGCGACUUAUAUUCUGUAGCAAGG